UACGUAGGGGGCGAGCGUUGUCCGGAUUCAUUGGGCGUAAAGAGCUCGUAGGCGGCUUGGCAAGUCGGGUGUGAAACCUCCAGGCUCAACCUGGAGACGCCACCCGAUACUGCUAUGGCUAGAGUCCGGUAGGGGACCACGGAAUUCCUGGUGUAGCGGUGAAAUGCGCAGAUAUCAGGAGGAACACCGGUGGCGAAGGCGGCAUCCUGGACCAACACUGACGCUGAGGAGCGAAAGCCAGGGGAGCAAACGGG
rnacentral:rRNA from 1 species